rnacentral:tRNA from 1 species
GGCCUGCUAGCUCAGUCGGUUAGAGCGUCGUGCUAAUAACGCGAAGGUCAUAGGGUCGAUCCCUGCGCAGGCCA